UUGGAGGGCAAGUCUGGUGCCAGCAGCCGCGGUAAUUCCAGCUCCAAUAGCGUAUAUUAAAGUUGUUGCAGUUAAAAAGCUCGUAGUUGAAUUUCGGGGUUAGUAGGUUGGUCAUGCCUCCGGUAUGUACUGGUCUCACUGAUUCCUCCUUCCUGACGAACCGUAAUGCCAUUAAUUUGGUGUUGCGGGGAAUUUGGACUGUUACUUUGAAAAAAUUAGAGUGUUUAAAGCAAGCUAACGCUUGAAUACAUUAGCAUGGAAUAAUGAAAUAGGACGUUCGAUCCUAUUUUGUUGGUUUCUAGGAUUGACGUAAUGAUUAAUAGGGAUAGUUGGGGGCAUUAGUAUUCAAUUGUCAGAGGUGAAAUUCUUGGAUUUAUUGAAGGCUAACUACUGCGAAAGCAUUUGCCAAGGAUGUUUUCAUUAAUCAAGAACGAAAGUUAGGGGAUCGAAGACGACCAGAUACCGUCGUAGUCUUAACCAUAAACUAUGCCGACUAGGGAUCGGAUGAUGUUAAUUUUUUAAUGACUCAUUCGGCGCCUUACGGGAAAC
rnacentral:rRNA from 1 species